ensembl:rRNA 5S_rRNA 5S ribosomal RNA
GAAAGCAGCCAUAUCACCCUGCAACUCACAACUGGCAACCCACUGAAGCUAAGCAGGUGUGAGCCUGGUCAGUACCUGGAUGCGAGACCUCCUGGGAAAAACUAAGGUUGCUGCUGGAA